AACACCACCUGCCAACAUUCAGCCUCCUCUGCCCAUCAGCCUUGCUGACACAGGGAGUGGAGAUUUGUGUAGAGAAAUGACUCAUUCAAAUAUGACUUAAUCUAAACCGUAAGUGUAUGAUUUAUUAAUGUGCCACCAGGCCUUACACCAAGAGAGCCAUUCCAGAGAAAAGUCCUUUUUCUCCUGAGAACAGUGCCAGCAGCUGGCUUCGUGACAUUCUGGAAGCCCCGUGCAAUGCUGUCAGGAGCAUAGGGAUUUUACUUUAUCUCCCUUGCUUAUGCUCCACAUAACUGAAAUAUCUCACUGGAAGCUGCAGCAGUGCUGGCCCCUUGCACAGCCAUAUGUGACCACUGCAGAACAAUCAGUUGGAGAGACAGUUUGGACUACAUGGAGGGUGGAGAUAAGGACAAAGUGAAGAAUACACAGGAACCAGUGCCUCCUCCUGGAACUAUGCAACUCCAAGCUGCUUCCAUCAGCUGCUAGGUCCAGUAGGGAGGGACCUACUGAGAGGUGAUUGGAUUAUGGGGGCGGUUUCCCCCAUGCUGUUCUCAUGAUCGUGAGUGAGUUCUCAUUUGAUCUGAUGGUUUCACGAAAGGCUCUUUCUCCUUUGCUUUCUCUUCUCUCUCCUGCUGCUAUGUGAAGAAGGUGCCUGCUUCCCUUUCCGCUGUGAUUGUAAGUUUCCUGAGGCCUCCUCAGCCAUGUGGAACUGUGAGUCAAUGAAACCUGUUUCCUUUAUAAAUUACUCAGUCUCUGGUAUUCCUUUAUAGCAGUGUGAAAAUGGACUAAUAUACUUGCCCUUCAUCCCAACGAUGGAUUUAAGACUAGAGACAUUUCAAAUAGUAGGUUUUUUGCCAAAUGCCUUUCGCUGUAGAAAUUCUAUACAUGGCCUUUGUCUGUUACACUGGAAGUCCUGCCACUUCUUAGAUGGUGGAGAUUAAAACAGCGAUUUCUUGUGGUGGUGGCGGGGCUGGGGUUGGGAACAUUGAGGAUAAGGUGGGAGCUGCCCAUCUCAGACACUACUGAGAUAGUGGGAUGGGCCACAUAAAUGUCUAUGGAAGAGAUGCCUUUGCCAUACAAUUCCUUCAACAAAUACUCAUUGAUCACACACCAUAUCUGGGGGUGUAGCUGAGAACAAAACAAAGCUCCUGUUUUGAGGAGCUUUAGGCUGUAGAGAAAACAGAAAAUAAACAAGCAAGCAAAUGGAUGUUUUUAAGUGGCAAAAGUGCUAUAAAGGAAACAAGUAGUGGGAUGAGAUGAGGGGAGGAGAACUUCAGGUAAGGUGGCAUCAGAGCAGGAAGCUGAACUGAGGGUGAGUGAGCUGAGCUCAACAGAAAGGACUGUUGGACUGAGCCAGCCACAUGGAGAUCUGGAGAAGGGAAGAGGGCACUACCAUUUUGUUUUUGUUUUUUAUUGGAUUUAAGACGUCACUAUUGUACCUCUAAAAGAAAAAAAAAAACUGUAAUUAUAAUUGUAAAUUACAAAAUUGAUUGUAAAACACAUUUUGAUAACAAUGAAUUAAAAUAUGUUAAAUUACAUGCCUUAGCAUCAAUAUAUUAGUUCAAAAGCCCAGAAGUGUUAAACAAGCUUAGUGCUUAUCUAAGCAACUGAAAAGAAUCUGAUAUGUUUAUAGUUGGUGAAUGACAGAGAAAAAGAUAUGAGGUUUCAGGGGGGCAAAAGGAUAAAUCUUGAGGUCUUAGUUUAAUUAAAAACGGGUGAUGAUACCAUUUACUGAGAUAGGAGAGAUUUCAGGUUGCCAAGAUGUCAAUUUCAGACAUAUUUUAUAUAUGUUAAGUGACAAUUAAGAGAAGGAGGGUUAAAAGGAGACUUAAGAUUCAGUGAAAACUCAAGGUUUAUGAAGACUUUUGCUCCAUAUCCAUCAGGAAACCAGAAAUCCCUGAAAUUAAUAGCUGAAUAAAUAGAAUAAGGUCAACAUUAUUUUUAACACAUAUUUUUAUGUCAUAUGCAUACUAUGUCACCAUAAUCAGUAAACUGUUAAAGUGCCAGAAAAUGCUUCUACAUCAUUUUCAUUCUGACAGGAAGUAGAUAGAAAUGGCAUGUAUCUACGAAGCCAAGUUCUUUCAAAAUUUACAGCUUAAUUUCUCCAAUUGUUUAGAGUGAUAAAUUUUUCACUGAGGCCAUUGACCAGCACAAUAAUUGUGUCUACACAGCAUGUUUAUAUCAAAUACCAUUGCAUCUGUUAUGUCCUGUUCAUGCUGUGACCUUCCCAGAAGGCAGUUAGGGAUUGAAACUAGUACGCACAAUAGUGUAGAUCAGAAAACUGAUGUCAGGCUCUAGUGACAUGUGUAGGUACUGGCAGAACUGGAAUUAGAACCAGAUUUCUACAGUUGCACCCCUGGUUCUUUGCUCCAAAUGCUAAAGCCCUUGGUUAUUUGAUUUUCCUGUUGUCUUUAUCCUAUCCCCAGGCUCUAUUUGGGUUUCUGUAGUGAAAUUAAGGAUAACCUCAUCUGCAUGCUGUACUUUCUUAAAUAGAUUUUUCUAAUCUCCCAUACUCCCACAACCAUAAAUGACAAAAUACAAGCAUGCUUAGGAUCAUUGUGCCCCACAAUAAAAAAAGCUGUUGCUAUGUUUUGGAAACAGAUCAAUCUUGGUAUUUAAGUGUUGUUUGAACAAAGAUUAACUGAGCCUGUUCUCCUCCCCCAGGUACUCAGACCCAGAACAUACUGUUUUCACUCCAAGAGUCUGAAUGUCUCUUUUCUGAGAAAGAUGAAGAAAAAGUACUUUUUUCAUGAAUUUAAUACUCAUUAAAGUCAAUAGUCGGAAAGCCUGGCUAAUUAGCAGACUUCUUCAGAGGACUUUAAAUAAUAUAGUUACUGUAUUUUUAUUAUAUUGAAAUCUCCAAAUAUAUAAAGUUAGAAUCUUCAAGGUGGGAGGAAGAGGAGAAAUUGGAUUUCUCUAAGCUCCCUAGUGAUUCUGAUGAUGACUCAUUUGGGGAAGUGCAGCAUUGAAUGGCCCUUCUAAAAUGAGGACAGCUAUUUUUUGGACUAAGCACCCCUCCCGACUCUCCCCAUUCCUCAUCCUCUCAGAGACUUCUCUCUCUCAGAUUGCCCCAUCUGUCUCAUGUAUUAUAAUCACUUCCCCUCUACUGGUUUCUUCUCAUACGUUUAACUUGUUCAAGUGCCUUCCAUCUUUAAAAACAGUCAAGGCACAGCCCUUGAUUUAACCAUAGGAAGCCCGCUCCCCACCACCCUGCCAUCAGCUCUCUUCUUCCUGUGUAGUGAGCACUGCUUCUUUGAGCUUCUGAAAGCUGUAGUCACUGCCUCUUGCUGGUAACUGAAAGCACAUUUCUAAGUUCGCAUAUUCCCUGACUUCUUGACAGCACUCAUGACUCGCCAUCUCCUUUUCUGGAACACUGUUUGCUUGGCUUUCACAAUAUCAUGCUUUUCUAGUUCUUUUUCCUGUUUUGGACACUGCUUUACAGAGAAUUAACAUUCCUCUUUUUCCCGCUGACCCUGAAUCAAGAAAGAAUCAUGUUUCUUUCUUUAUUUUUUAUAUCUUAACUUUUGAGGGGUAGAUUUUCAAGCAUACAUAAAAGUGAAGAGAACAGGAUAAUGAACUAGGUGUACACAUGACUGCAUCUUAUCAGUGCAAUACACACUCAUAUUACUUUUUCUAUACUUCAUCCAUUUUCUCCCUGCUCCCUGACUUGGAUCAAAUCCCAGACAUUACAUUAUUUAACCUGCAAAUAUUUCAUCAUAUAUAUGUGGGAAUAUAUAGAUCUCUAUCACUAUAUAUAGUGAGAAUUUCUUUCAAAGAAAAGAUAAUCACAAUAUUAUAAUCUCAUCAAAUGUAGUUGUUAUAAUUCCUUAAUGUCAGUCUAAUAACAAUCCUGUUUUCACAAUUUCUUCUCUUGUAGAUUUUUAAAAAUUAAUUUUGUUGAAUUGAAAUCUAAAUAAGAUACAGAGAUAAAGAUUCAUUGACAUGUCCCUUAAGUAUUUUAGUUUAUAGGCUGUCCUACUAUAUUCCCUGCCUCUUCUUGCAUUUUAUCUUGAUUCAGUUGAAAACUCUGGGUCAUUUGUCUUAUAAAGUUCAUGGGGUCUGCAAUUUGGUGAAGGUGUCCUUUUGGCAUUAUUUAACAUGCGUCUCUGUUCCUUGUAUUUUCUAGAAAUUAUUGGUUAUAUCUAGAGGUUUGAUCAGAUUUAGGUGAAAUUAUAAAAAGAUUCCGUCAUAGGUGAUUUUGUGAAGUUCCAUCAGAAGGUACCCAUCUGGUUUUCUCUCCUUUUGUGAUGCUAGCAGCCACUGAAUAUGGUAAUCUACUCCAAUCAUUAACUAAAUUUCUUUUCUGGAAUUAUUCCAAAAGAGAAACUUUUUUCAUCAUGCAUUUGGUUGUCCUGAGGUAUGAUUGUAUAGGAAAAACAGGAUAACCUACUGAUACUUUCUGUUUAAACUAGUAUUCAAAAUAAUAAAAGUAGUCCCCUAGUAUUAUCUAAAGAUUUCAAAAGACUUUUAAAAAAAUUAUUGAUGAUUUUAUGAGCUCAGGGAUUAAACAUAGUCAAUCUGUUUCAAUCCCUUGCAGUUAUUCCAAUUAAUAAUCAAAUUUUCCUGCCUUUGGCUUGCGGCAGCGUAUUCAUGUUGAAUUCUGGGUCACUUUGACAUGACUCCAGUUGUCUUUGAUGGUAUCCUUUUUGUGACAAAAUGUCCCAGGAUUAUAAUUUCCUGUCCCAUACUGGGAAACAGCCAGUUCUCCAAAGAGCUCUGGAACCAUUCAGUGAGAAAUGUAUUUAGAUGCAACAUUCUGGGUGCUAAGCAUGCCCAUUAACCUGAUCAAUCUCACGUCUUUCCUUUCUUUCAGCAUUGCCAGAAAACUCAUUUCUCAGUGACACCAUUGUAAUUACUCAUUUGAUUAUCCCGCAAUACACAUAUAAGAGUCUCAGGAAAACAGUACCAUCAGCAUUAUAUGGUAAUAUCUACAAGCACUUUAAUAUUUUCUUAUUGGGGGUACACUUUUUUCCAUAGAGAAUAUUUUACUAGGUAAGAACAAUAAUAUUGAUAUGUUUUAAUUUUUCUUGAAGUGGUUCUUCUGUAUGAGGUUAUAUCACCAAGUAGAUAUACAGUUAUAAUGUUUGAUUAUUACACAUUGCUUUUCUUAAAAUUUAAUUUUGUUUUAAAGCUAUUAAAAUCAGGUUUCUUAAAGAAAGAUCCUCAUUCUAUCUGGAUCAAAAUCACUUUCAGAGCUAAUUAAAAAUGUGGUGUCCUGGACUCACGAAGCCAGAAUUGCUGAGGAGAUAGCCCGAGAAUCUGAAUUUUUAGCAGACAUUUUUUUAGGGUGUGGGGAAGAGCGAGAAAAAGAUUUCCGCUCUGGAAGGUAAACAAAUACUCUCUGGAGAGAGAAGAGGAAUGUCCCUAGCAGAUGUCUCCAGAGAAGACAAGACUUUAAAUUCCGCCAGGGAAAUAUACAAUGUCUAACUUCUAAGGCACAUUUGCCAUUCAAUCAUGCUUUAACCCACGUUGCCAGAAAUUUUUGCUCACUAGGUUUUGACUGUACAGGAAUGUGAAAAUAUUCAUGAAGAGUUGUUUUCCAAUGCUAAAGAAUUGAUGUGUUUUAACAGUUGAAUUAAUUGUAUUGAUUAUGAUCACACCUACUUUUUAUAUAUCUUCAUUUCUAACGUUUCUGUACAAUCCUGCCUUUCCACCUGAUAUAGUUAGGCCUUGUGUCAUCAACCAAAUCUCAUCUUGAAUUGUAAUCGCCAUAAUCCCCACGUAUUUAGGGAGAGACCUGGAGGGAGGUGUUUGGAUCAUGGGGGCGGUUUCCCGCAUGCUGUUCUCAUGACCAUGAGAGUAAGUUCUCAAGAGAUCUGAUGGUUUUAUAAGCGUCUGUCAUUUCCACUGCUUGCACUUCUGUGUCCUGCCACCUUGUGAAGAAGGACGUGGUUGCUUCCCCUUCCACCAUGAUUGUGUUUCCUGAGGCCUCCCCAGCCUUGCAGAGCUGUGAGUCAAUUAAACCUCUUUCCUUUAUAAAUUACUCAGUCUCUGUAUUCCUCUGCAGCAGUGUGAGAACAGACUAAUACAUCACCACUUUAUUUACUUUACUCUCUCCCCAUACCGAGGUUUUCUACAUUUUCUUUCUAGGUCUCUACAGUUUCUGCAAAGAUCCUUUAUGGAACUCUUAGGGAAGCUGGGAUGUAUAAUAAAUAAAGGGCUCUUUUCUUUGAGUCCCACACCCAUUUUCUGUGUAUAAAAAUCUUCAACUCCACUUUUGUCUGUUCUAUUUAAAUGUGUGCACAUUUCCUUCUAAUGUUGUAUAUGAAAAAGAGACACCUCUUAGCAGUCUUUCAUAGAGCAAAAUUUUUUACUUUGAUAAAAUCUAAUUUAUCAAUAUUUUUAAAUUUUAUGGAUCAAUCAUGCUUUUGAGGUUGAAUUUAAGAAUGCUUUGCCUAGCCCUAGAUCCCAAGUAUCUUUUAAAAAUUAUUUUUCUAAAUGCAUUAUUUAUGUUUUACACUUAAGUCUAUAAUCCAUUUUGAGUCCAUGUGUAAGAUUUAGGUUAAGGUCAAGAUUUAUCUGUUUUUGUUGUUUUCUCUAUAAAUGUCAAUUGCUCCAGCACUAUUUGUUUAAAAGCCAAUCUUUCCUCCGCUGAGUUCUUCCUAUAAGUUUGUCAAAAGUCAAUUUGGCAUCUUUGUAUAAGUUUAUUUCUGGAUUCUCUAUUCUGUUUUAUUGAUCACUGCAUCUAUCCCUCUUGAUUAGCUAGAUAAUAAAUCCUACAAUAAGGUAGAAUUCUUCCCACUUUAUUCAUAUUCAAAAUAUUUUAAAGCUAUUCUAGUUUCUUUUUAUUUCCAUAUAUAUUUUAGGAUAAUCUUAUCUAUAUUUACAACAUAUGUUGCUAGGAUUUUGAUAGAAUUUGUUUUAAAUUUGUGUAUCAAUGUAGGGAAGACCUGACAUCUUUACUAUUACGUUGAUCUUCCAAUCAAUGAAUAUGGUAUAUCUCUCAGUUUAUAGCUAUUGUCUUUAAUUUAUUUCAUCAUGGUUUUUAGUUUUCAGCAGAGAAGCUUUAUACAUGUUUUGUUAUACAUGUAUAACAAAAGAAGCCUUAUACACUGACAUUUUAUAUUUUGAACAAUUGUAAAUGGUAUUGUUUAAAAAUUUUGUUGUCUAUGAUAGAAAUAAAAUUGAUUUUUGUAGGUUUAUCUUGUAACCUAUGACUUGCUGAGCUCGCUCAUUAGUUUUUUUAUUGUGAUAAAAUAUACAUGAGAUAAAUUUCAUCAUUAUAAUCAUUAAGUUUAGACAUCAAUUGCAUUAAGUACAUAAAUGCCUUAUGCAACCAUCAUCUCUAUCCAUCUCCAGACCCUUUGCAUCACCCUAAAAUGAAACUCUGUGCCCAUUAAACAAUAACUCCCCAUUCUGCCCUCACCCCAGCCCUUGGUAAUUACCAUCCUACCUUUUAUCUCUAUAAAUUUAACCAUCCCAGGUAACUCAUAUAAGUGGAAUCAUGCAGUGUUUGUCCUUUUGUAACUGGUUUAUUUCACUUAGCAUGAUGUCUUCAAGGUUUGCCUAUGUCAUAGCAUGUGUCAGAAUUUCAUCCCUUUUUAAACUUAAAUAAUAUUCCACUGUAGGCAUAUGCCACAUUUUGUUUAUUUGUUCAUCUGUUGAUGGGCAUUUGGGUUGUUUCCACCUUUUGGCUACUGUGAAUAAUGCUGCUGUGAUCAUGGGUAUGCAACUGUCUCCUGGAGUCCCUGCUAUCAAUUCUUGUGGGUAUAUACCCAGAAGUGGAAUUGUUGCAACAUAUAGUAAUUCUAUGUUUAAUUUUUUGAGGACCUGCCAUAAUGUUUUCCACAGUAGCUACAUUGUCUUAUAUUCCCAUUAAGAGUUCCAAUUUCCUCACAUCUUCACCAAUACUUAUUGUUUUCUGUUUUUUUAAAUAAUAGCCAUCAUAAUAAAAGUAACAUGGUAUCUCAUUGUGGUUUUAACUGCAUUUCCCUUUUUACUGGAUUGUUUGUAAUAUUGCUGUAAUUGAGUUGUAGGAGUUUUUAAAUAUGUUCUGAAUAAUUAAUUUCUUAUCAGAUAUGUCAUUUGCAAAUAUUUUCUGCCAUUCUCUGGGUUGUCAUUUCACUCUCUUGAUAGUGUCCUUUGAUGCACAGAAGUUUUGAAAUUUGAUAAAGUUUAAUUUGCGUAUGUAUUUAUUUUGUUGCUUAUGCUUUUGGUGUCAUAUCCAAGAAAUUAUUGCCAAAUUCAGUGUCAUGAAGAUUUUCCCCUGUGUUUUCCUCUAAGAGUAUUAUAGUUUUAACUCUUGCACUUAGAUUGAUCCGCUUUGAGUUAAUUUUAGUAUAUGGGGUAAGACAAGGGCUCAAAUUUGUUCUUUUGUUUGAAGAUUCUAGGUCAUUUGUGAUCUUUAGGAUUUUCUAUGUAGACAUUAAUGUCAUCUUCAAAUAUGAACAGUUUAUUUCUUCCUUUUGUAUAUGUAUGAAUUUACUUUCCUUUUCUUGCCUUAUUGCACUGGCUAGAGUUUUCAGUACUAUGAUGAAUAAAAUCAGUGAGAGCAGACACCCUUGCUUUGUUUCUAAUCUUAGGAGGAAAGCUUUCAGUCUUUCAUCAUUAGGUAUACUGUUAGUUGUAGGCUUAUUAUAGAUGCUCUUUAUCAGGUUGAGGCAGUUUCCUCCUUGGUUAAGACUUUCUAUUUUUCAUUUUCAGUUAUGACCAGGCAUGUUCAUAACUGCUCAUCAAAACUUUGAAUUAGUGGCUGCUUUAACAUCCUUCUCAGACAAUUCUAACAUCUGUUUUGUUGGUGGUGGCAUCUAUCAAUUGUCUUUUUCAUUCUGUUUGAGAUCUUCCUUGCGUUUGGUAUGAUUUUUUUAAAUAUUAUGUCAUGAAACUGCAUCUUAUUUAAAUCUUCUGUUUUAGUUGGCUAUGUCUGACAUCACUUCCCCAGGGGAAGGUGUUGUUACUGCUAGUGGAGGGUGAGAAUUAUGGCUCUCCACUGACAUUGUGGUGGGAUUGGUCCCAUUACCACUGGGCAGGGUUGAAAGUCCUGACUUUCUGCUAGGCCUUCUCUGACUUCAUCGCAGCAGGAGGAAAAGAUGCCUCUGGAGUUGAAGUCAGGUUGCACUGACACUGUGUGUGUAUGGAGGUAGGCUGGGGUGAAAGUGGAGACUCAUUACCACAUGGUGAGUAGUUUCCAGCUCUCUAUUUGGCCUUCUCUGAUACCACCCAGACAGGGACAUUGGGGAUACCUCAUUACAGCCUAGUGAGGGUCAAACUCUAGGCUCCCCACUCAGUCUUUGCUAUCAUGGACACUGUAGGACCAUAGUUUUUUCUGUGCUGUUUGCUUGAUGUGUCUUCCUUGGACCCUGAGUUCCAUAGCUGGUCUGCAUUCCUCUCUCCACCUUUAAGACGUCUUCUUAUGUUUAUUUCAUAUUUAACAUCCAGGGUGGUAAUUAGAGGGAAGAAUAGAGGGAAAAGUACAGUUGCACUUUGUUGUUCAAAGAGCAGUUUUGAACUGCACAGACCCAUUUCUCUGAGCACACCCAGGGAUGAUUGUACUUGUAUAAAAUUUUUUUCCUGGAUGCAGAAUUCUCAAUUGACUGUGAAAGUUCAUAACAAAGAAAACAGUGGGGAAGACAAAUCUGGAAAUGAGGAAAAUAAAAAUUAAAUAGUGAGACCACCCAUGGAGCUUGUGGCAAAGCCUGAAUUGAAUCCGCUGUAUCUUAAGAUUGUGCCUCAUUCUAAAUUUAAGUCACCCUUCUCAUUAUGAAAGUGUCACAACUUCUCAGUAGGUGAGGAGACAGUCUAAAUUUGAGAAAAGAAAGUUACAACAAAGGUUUUGAGCAAGCUGCUAAGUGGAUUUAUUCAUGUUUGAGAAAUCAAAUAUAUGGUUAAUGAGCUCUUUAACUAGAAGCCAACACUAGGGAGGAGUAGACAGAAGUCACGGGGAGGGAGCCCCCGGACAUUUCAAAAGACUUUGCCCUGCAACAUCUCCUCCACAUUUAAGCUUUUAGGUUAUUGUAGCCACAUCACAAGCAUGUUACCUACCCAGAUAUUGUCUGCGCAUCAUUCCCAAAAGCUUCCCUGGGUCUUCAUAAUAUUAAUGAGAUUCUCCCCCAGGUUAGACCCCUUUGGCUUGAGUCAGAAACAGAAUUAAUCCGGGGGACAAUCCAGCAGCACCCAUCUCUGGGUUGCAGAAAUAUCUGAGGUGACCAGGCAGUGUUUGGAGUCCCCUCAGUUAGCUAACAAAGUGAGUUCACAGCUUCCAAGACCCCAGGCUUUCCAGGCUAAUAAAGAGCUGAGGUUAUAGGCUCUCCUUAUCAAACGCUCUUUGGCAGCUGCCAUAACCAUUCCAAGUCUAGUCCUAGAAUAGAAAUGACGCGGUUUCAGGAGCUGACAGAUGGAACUUUAAGCCUUCCUUCCUGCCACAUCUGAAGUUCUUUUUUAAAAAAAUAGAAAACCAUGACAAUAAACACUCCUUGAAUGCCCUGUGGAAAAGUGUACUCCUCAGAAUUCACUAAAGUGGGGUGAAGCAGUGGGUUGUGGUGCUGAGAAAACAUCUCUUCCCCUCGGCAGUAUAUUGGAAUCUCAUAGAAACUUCUGUGGCUGGGAAGCAAACAUGCUCUCUGCCCCAUUGCUCUUAUUCAUCUUUAGACCUGAUAAUACAGUUUGAACUUCAAGUUGCACUUUAAAUGGCAUGCAUUUUUA
rnacentral:lncRNA from 1 species